GGAGCUUGGGACUGUGAUGAGGUCACUUGGCCAAAAUCCAACUGAAGCUGAGUUGCAGGACAUGAUCAAUGAGGUGGAUGCUGACGGAAACGGAACCAUCGACUUCCCUGAGUUUCUGAAUCUGAUGGCUAGGAAGAUGAAAGACACUGAUUCAGAGGAGGAACUGAAGGAAGCCUUCCGUGUGUUUGACAAGGACCAGAAUGGUUUCAUUUCUGCAGCUGAACUCCGCCACGUGAUGACAAAUCUUGGCGAGAAAUUGACCGAUGAAGAAGUCGAUGAGAUGAUUCGCGAGGCUGACGUGGAUGGCGAUGGUCAGAUUAACUACGAGGAAUUCGUAAAAAUCAUGAUGGCCAAGUGACAGACCGAUCAAACGUGAAAGAGAACCUAUCGAGGCUAAUAACUGAAAGAGAGGUUGGCGCAAAUAUGUUCCAUGACAACUAUAAUAUCCUACUGGAGCACUUCUAUCUCUAGGAAAACCCUUCUUUUUCGUGUUACUAGCUUUAGUUGGUUCUUUCUGUUAUCUUACUCUCUUGUUUGCAUAAUUUAUGGUACUGUAUUCCGGUAUUGUUUGCUGUUUCCUUCUCUUUUCUUCUUCAGUAGAUUAGAUAGUGGAGUCUUCUAUUAUCAAUAUUUGCUAUUUUCCUUUUGGUGUUUGGCAAUAUCAAUUCCAAGUACAUUUUCAAUGAAUCCAUUGCUUUUUGC
rnacentral:misc_RNA from 1 species